rnacentral:rRNA from 1 species
UGUGGGUAGCGGUGAAAUUCCAAUCGAGCCCGGAGAUAGCUGGUUCUCCCCGAAAUAGCUUUAGGGCUAGCCUCAAGGUGAGAGAUACGGAGGUAGAGCACUGAAUGUCCUAGGGGGUAUUGCACCUACCGAAGACUAUCAAACUCCGAAUGCCGUCAUCUUAUACUUGGGAGUCAGACUGUGGGUGAUAAGAUUCAUAGUCGAAAGGGCAACAGCCCAGAUCGUCAGCUAAGGUCCCUAAAUGUAAGUUAAGUGGUAAAGGAUGUGGGAUUGCACAGACAACCAGGAUGUUGGCUUAGAAGCAGCCACUCAUUCAAAGAGUGCGUAAUAGCUCACUGGUCGAGUGAUCCUGCGCCGAAGAUUUCCGGGGCUAAAACUUACUACCGAAGCUACGGCAUCAGUAAUGAUGGGUAGGGGAGCUUCCCAUACGGGUUGAAGCAUGACCGUAAGGACAUGUGGACAGUAUGGGAGUGAGAAUGUUGGCAUGAGUAGCGAGAUGUGGGUGAGAAUCCCACAGGCCGUAAACCCAAGGUUUCCAGGGGAAGGUUCGUCCGCCCUGGGUUAGUCGGGACCUAAGCUGAGGCCGAAAGGCGUAGGGGAUGGACAACAGGUUGAUAUUCCUGUACUACCGAUAACCGUUUGAGAGAAGGGAUGACACAGUAGGAUAAGCUAAGCACACUGUUGGUUAUGUGUGCCCAAGCAUUGAGGCAGUCAAAGUAGGCAAAUCCGCUUUGAUAAUGCUGGGAUGUGAUGGGGAGCGAAAUUUAGUAGCGAAGUAGCUGAUUUCACACUGUCAAGAAAAGUCUCUAUCGAGGUUAAAGGUACCCGUACCGCAAACCGACACAGGUGGGUGAGGAGAGUAUCCUAAGGCCAGCGAGAGAACUGUUGUUAAGGAACUCGGCAAAAUGACCCCGUAACUUAGGGAUAAGGGGUGCCACCAUCAGGUGGCCGCAGAGAAUAGGCCCAAGCGACUGUUUACCAAAAACAUAGGUUUCUGCUAAGUCGCAAGACGAUGUAUAGGAGCUGACGCCUGCCCUGUGCUGGAAGGUUAAGGGGAUCUGUUAGAGCACUCGAAGCAUUGAACUUAAUCCCCAGUAAACGGCGGCCGUAACUAUAACGGUCCUAAGGUAGCGAAAUUCCUUGUCGGGUAAGUUCCGACCCGCACGAAAGGCGUAACGAUUUGGGCACUGUC